rnacentral:rRNA from 1 species
AACGGGUGAGUAAUGCGUGACCAACCUGCCCCAUGCUCCAGAAUAGCUCUUGGAAACGGGUGGGAAUGCUGGAUGCUCCAACUUGACGCAUGUCUUGUUGGGAAAGUGUUUAGUGGCAUGGGAUGGGGUCGCGUCCUAUCAGCUUGUAGGCGGGGUAAUGGCCCACCUAGGCUUCGACGGGUAGCCGGCCUGAGAGGGCGGACGGCCACAUUGGGACUGAGAUACGGCCCAGACUCCUACGGGAGGCAGCAGCC